UACGGGGGGGCAAGGCGUUGUUCGGAAUUACUGGGCGUAAAGGGCUCGUAGGCGGCCAACUAAGUCAGACGUGAAAUCCCUCGGCUUAACCGGGGAACUGCAUCUGAUACUGGAUGGGCUUGAGUUCGGGAGAGGGAUGCGGAAUUCCGAGGUGUAGGCGGUAGAAAUGCGUAGAUAAUCGGAGGAACACCGGGUGGCGAAGGCGGCACUCGCGGACCGUGAACGCGACGCGAGCGGGAGCGAAAAGCCGGGGAGCAAGCGGG
rnacentral:rRNA from 1 species